CCCUUGUGGAGGAGGACGCCGAAGGUGGGGCUAAUGACUGGGGUGAAGUCGUAACAAGGUAGCCGUACCGGAAGGUGCGGCUGGAUCACCUCCUAACAGGGAGACAACAAAAUGUUUAAUAUUAUUUUGUCACCUUAGGUCGAUCGGUAUCUCACGUUCUUAAUUUAUUAAGAAUUUCAUUUUCUAAGUUUUUCUAGGUCACACCCAUUAUUUUUCCUGGGCCAUUAGCUCAGGUGGUUAGAGCGCACCCCUGAUAAGGGUGAGGUCCCUGGUUCAAGUCCAGGAUGGCCCAUAUCUCUAUGUUGGGGGUAUAGCUCAGUUGGUAGAGCGCCUGCUUUGCAAGCAGGAUGUCAGCGGUUCGAGUCCGCUUACCUCCACUGAUUACCACCUCUUACAUAAUCUGUUGAAAGGAAAUGUUUUGAGUUGUGAUCAAAUUCUGAACGAAUCUAGCUUCCUAAUGAAAUCAUUAAGAUGCUGGAUUCAUUGAAUUAAUUUCAUUGUUUUCAGAGAACCUUGACAACUGCAUAGAUUAUUUUUAAAGACAAUAAGCAUCUUUAAUGAUGCAGAUUUAUUAUUUGUGCGAAUGCAUUAAUAACAAUUCUAUUAAGCUGAUGCUUCAAUUAUGAAGUUAUUGGUCAAGCUACAAAGGGCUCACGGAGGAUACCUAGGCACACAGAGGCGA
rnacentral:misc_RNA from 1 species